UUUUUGAAUAGAAAAAUAAUGUCUAUGAUAUCUAACAUCUAUAUCCUAUUUUCUCAACACAUUAACAAAAAAGACAAUACAACAUCUCACUCUAGAAG
rnacentral:ribozyme from 12 species